UACGGGGGGAGCAAGCGUUGUUCGGAUUUACUGGGCGUAAAGGGCGCGUAGGCGGCGCAACAAGUCACUUGUGAAAUCUCCGGGCUUAACCCGGAGCGGCCAAGUGAUACUGUCGUGCUAGAGUGCGGAAGGGGCUACUGGAAUUCUCGGUGUAGCGGUGAAAUGCGUAGAUAUCGAGAGGAACACCUGCGGCGAAGGCGGGUAGCUGGGACGGUACUGACGCUGAGACGCGAAAGCGUGGGGAGCGAACAGG
rnacentral:rRNA from 1 species